rnacentral:rRNA from 1 species
CAGUCGCCGCGGUAAUACGAACCGUGCGAACGUUAUUCGGAAUCACUGGGCUUAAAGCGCGUGUAGGCGGGCCGCCACGUCGGCUGCUGAAAUCCCCCGGCUCAACCGGGGAAGUGGCACCGAUACGAGCGGCCUGGAGGGGGGUAGGGGGGACUGGAACUUCCGGUGGAGCGGUGAAAUGCGUUGAGAUCGGAAGGAACGCCCGUGGCGAAAGCGAGUCCCUGGACCCUUACUGACGCUGAGACGCGAAAGCCAGGGGAGCGAACGGGAUUAGAUACCCGCGUAGUCCCUGUCUCUUAUA